rnacentral:lncRNA from 1 species
CAUUCCAAUUUACCACUGUACUACAAUUUUUGAGGACGAGACAUGAUGUUUCAGAUCUUUCAUUCCUCGUCACUGGCAAGGACAAGUGCAGCAUGAUAGCUCGCAUUCUACAAAUGUACACGCUAAAACAUUAAAACAUGUAAUAGCAAUUAUUGCGACAUGAAAGGCUAAAUUAAGGUAGGUCUCAAUUGGCAAAAGCAUUCAAUGUAUUGUAACUUGGCUUAGCUGUAAUAAAAACAAAUGUGUCCCAUGAUCUUUCUCUUUUCUUUUUAGUAUAAUUUGCUAGAAUAAAGCAGCAAGCUCCAUGAAUGAGAAAGAGGAGUAAGACAUGAUCAUAGGACCCCAAUUCGAAAGGAACCAGUAGCUUUGCAGUCUUGAACCAAACAUAUCUACCACAAAUAACAUCUAGGUUUAAUAACACCAAAUUAUAGAGUUGUACUAAUCAUAACUUCUGAAAUUGAAAUAAAACAUAAAUAACAAAGAAAUUGAGGAAAAUUAAUAGAAAAAUGCAUAUAUGUCUGCAUAUGUACUCAAAAGUAUUAAGGAUGGCCGAGAAGCAGAAGUAACAUUUGACAAAUUUGACCAUGGACCAAUGAUGGAUAAUGAGUAUUUGUUGAGCUAUUUUUUCGGAGAAAAAAAGCAGCUGCUUGUCUCUUAAAAUACCUCUUCAGUAUUACUCAUAAUGGUCUUUCUUGCUUCCAAAUGAGGAAAAAAUAAACAGAAAACGGGGAUAUGAAAAAUAAAGUAACAGGAUGAUACUUUAGCUAUUUCAAGUCCUAAUCGCCUUGUUCCUUAAGAGUGAGAUUGUGACGGUGCAAUUUAGUUGGUUGUCAAUUUUGAUCACACUCUCACACAUGAACUAUACAGCAAUUCCUUGCACCCACCAAAAAAAAUAUUUAAUUACCUUUUGACAAGAUGGAUUCUCUGCUGAAGAACGGAUCCAAGGAAGUACCACGAUCAUGAAGGAAUAGCUCAACCCACCCAGAUGUAUACUCA